rnacentral:rRNA from 1 species
GUCGCCUCCUAAAAGGUAACGGAGGCGCUCAAAGGUUCCCUCAGAAUGGUUGGAAAUCAUUCAUAGAGUGUAAAGGCAUAAGGGAGCUUGACUGCGAGACCUACAAGUCGAGCAGGGUCGAAAGACGGACUUAGUGAUCCGGUGGUUCCGCAUGGAAGGGCCAUCGCUCAACGGAUAAAAGCUACCCCGGGGAUAACAGGCUUAUCUCCCCCAAGAGUUCACAUCGACGGGGAGGUUUGGCACCUCGAUGUCGGCUCAUCGCAUCCUGGGGCUGUAGUCGGUCCCAAGGGUUGGGCUGUUCGCCCAUUAAAGCGGUACGCGAGCUGGGUUCAGAACGUCGUGAGACAGUUCGGUCCCUAUCCGUCGUGGGCGUAGGAAAUUUGAGAGGAGCUGUCCUUAGUACGAGAGGACCGGGAUGGACAUACCUCUGGUGUACCAGUUGUCGUGCCAACGGCAUAGCUGGGUAGCUAUGUGUGGACGGGAUAAGUGCUGAAAGCAUCUAAGCAUGAAGCCCCCCUCAAGAUGAGAUUUCCCAACUUCGGUUAUAAGAUCCCUCAA